GCGGAUGUGGCGAAAUUGGCAGACGCGCUAGCCUUAGGAGCUAGUGAGGUAACUCAUGGGGGUUCAAGUCCCUUCAUCCGCA
rnacentral:tRNA from 1 species